CGUUUUAUAAUUUACAUUUAUAUAUUAUAUCUUUAUAUUUUAUAUAUUUAUAAUUUAUAUUUUACAUAAAAUACUUUAAAUUCUGUAUUUUUAAAACACCACAUAAUUUUUUCAUAAUGAUAAAAGAAUGUCUUAAGACUGUGUUGGGAGGGAGUUCCCGUCGUGGCUCAGUGGUUAACGAACCUGACUAGCAUCCAUGGGAACGCACGUUCAAUCCCUGGCCUCAUUCAGUUGGUUAAGGAUCUGGCGUUGCUGUGAGCUGUGGUAUUGGUCGCAGACGUGGCUUGGAUCUGGAGUUGCUGUGGCUUUUUUAACAUCUGAUGACAAGUUACAAGACAAUUUCACAUCCGUUAUCUCAUUUUCUCCUCCCACCAGCUUUGGCACAUGGGUAAUUUGUAUUCUCUUCCAUUUUCAGCAGAGGAAAAAGUAGCUCAAAAGCUAAGGAACAUACUUUAGGUGACAGCCAGAAAAUUAUGGGACUGGAAUUCAGCCCCAAACUUGUAACAGUUAUAGGAGAGGUGGAGAUUUGUAACAAUCUAAAAGGUCUUGAAUCUAGAAAGCUGGAGGUACAAAAUUGAUAGCCAUCAGAAUAGAAGUAAUAUUUGAAGUUCUAGGUCAAUCAAAACUUGGAACCCUGGAAAAAUGACACGAUGGGAUUCCCAUAAACAAACCAAGAUGGCAUGGCUUUGUGAUGGCAGAGAAAAGCAAGAUAAGGAAGCUCAUGCUGUUGGCAGUCUGAAGUCACAAUCUGGAGAAUGGAAAUCUUUGUCUAUUGUGUGAAAAUACAGAGUAUGGAGGAAGAGGAAAAAGAAAAAGAGAGAAGGGGGAGGAGGAAACAUAAUAGUUCUAUCCAACACAAUCCAGAUCAAACCUAAAAUCCAGGCCCCUAUUUAUUAUGAGAAACACAGAUGUGACCAAAAAUAAUAAAAUGUGACUAUUCACAGCCUCUUUCCCUCCUUAGCCCUCUCUCCCAAAGGAUUAUUUCUUGCUCAAUUAUCCAGUCAGUCCCUAGACAUUUUUAUGAAUAGUGAGGCAAUCAACAAGAGGAAGAGGAUACCAGGAUUUAGAACAGAAAGGGAAAUAAGUAAAGACAAGAGAAACAGAUGUAUGUGGACAUGAAGAGAGAAUGUGUAGGCUAGGGUAAGAAUGUUCAGAGCUUGCAGUGGGAAAGAAAUGAGGCUUUGGUAUAGUUGUGUUGUACAGGAGGAUGGUCGAGAGAAGAGAACUGGGCACACCCUCAGAUGGGUCAUCAGGCGGGGGGGGGGAAGGGGGGGAAAGCAGUCACACAAGCAAGAGAGAGCAAGUCAUGAAUCUGGGCAGAUAACCAGAGAGGCAGAAAGGGCCACAAAAAGGGUCACACCUCCUGAGAAAGAGCCCAAGGCCAGGGUGACUCUGAGGCAAAGUCUAUGCAUCCAUGAUUUGCUUAUCAAGACAGGAACCAGUUCCUCAGCAUGCAAAGGUCCUGACCAGUAGAUGCCAGAGACAAAGGGGCCAUGUUCCACUGAAGAAAGGAGAGAAAGCAGAGACUGAAGAAAACCUUCAGAUGCAAUAAGGGAGAACUAUGUCCUGGCUAAGAGCCCAGUUCUGCCACUUGCUCACUGGUGAACUUGGGAAAUCCCUCCCCUCUCUAAGCUGCCACACAUCCUCUGGAUAAUGAGAGGAUGUGGCUGGGUGAUGUCUGGGGGCUCUUCUGGCUCCGACCCUCAGCCUCAGUACCCCACUUGGCUACAGGCACGUGCGCUGUCUCCUUCCGCCAGAACAGCUGCAACAGACAGAAAAGUCCUGUUUGACAGCUGUGGCUGUUGCCACGAGGAAUCCCCCUGCCGACCCCAACCUAGCCUGCAGCUUUCUCAUCACCAGGCCCUUCACUACUGCCGCCCACCUGCCUCUAGGACAGAACCACCAGCCACACACACUUCCUCAUACACCAGGCUCCAACGUUGUCUUCCUCAGCAUGUCCCUCGUCCUGGGCCUCUGGCCGUGCUCAGGCCUUUGUCCACCCAAAACAGGAAUGUCACCCACCAAACAUUGCUUUAUGCUUCCGAGUAUGUUCUAUGACUGGAAGGAGCUGGUCCCCCACCAUCACCCCUUUUCAAUACUAUCUUCUCUGGUUCCUUAGUCUCCUAAAACUCUCAAGCUGGAUAAUUAAUUUUUUUUUUUUUUUAUGGCUGCACCUACAGCAUAGGGAAGUUCCCAGGAAUCAGAACCACAGCUGCUGGCCUACCUCACAGCCACAGCAACAUGGGAUCCAAACAGUAUCUGUGACCUACACCAAAGUUUGCAGCAACACCGGAUCCUUAACCCAUUGAGCGAGGCCAAGGAUUGAACCCACGUUCUCAUGCAUACUAGGUUCUUUUUUUUUUUUUUUUCUAUUUCUUGGGCC
rnacentral:lncRNA from 1 species